AACUUAAUCACCCUCUCAUAACUUCAUCGGGUAUUGCUUCCUCUUCUUCUUCUUCAAUUCUUCAACGAGAUCCAUAAACAAUAUUAGUUCGUGAAGAUAUGCUCUGAAUCGAUGAAGAAGAUUUGAUGAAGAUCAUCAACAACAUAAAACGAAGAUUCAUCAACAAAAAUGAAUCGAAAGAUGGAGUUGGAUUUUCGCUUGGUUGGAUACGGGUGAUACAAGAUACUCAGUUCAUUCAAUCUAUAUUUGGCUCCUUACAUCAGACCCCUCAAGUGAAAUUAGAAAUUUAUCGACCAUGAGGAAGUGUUUUUAUCUCGAACUACCAGCCAUCAAA